rnacentral:rRNA from 1 species
GACGUAGGGCGCGAGCGUUAUCCGGAUUUACUGGGCGUAAAGCGCACGUAGGUGGCUUUGUAAGUUAGAGGUGAAAGCCCGGGGCUCAACUCCGGAAUUGCCUUUAAGACUGCAUCGCUAGAACGUCGGAGAGGUAAGUGGAAUUCCGAGUGUAGAGGUGAAAUUCGUAGAUAUUCGGAAGAACACCAGUGGCGAAGGCGACUUACUGGACGACUGUUGACACUGAGGUGCGAAAGCGUGGGGAGCAAACAGG